CCAAAUACCCCCCCCGGGUUUGGGUUUUUUUUUAGUUUUUUUUCCUCGGUCAGAUUGAACGCUGGCGGCAGGCCUAACACAUGCAAGUCGAGCGGUAGCACAGAGAGCUUGCUCUCGGGUGACGAGCGGCGGACGGGUGAGUAAUGUCUGGGAUACUGCCUGAUGGAGGGGGAUAACUACUGGAAACGGUAGCUAAUACCGCAUAAUGUCGCAAGACCAAAGUGGGGGACCUUCGGGCCUCAUGCCAUCAGAUGUGCCCAGAUGGGAUUAGCUAGUAGGUGGGGUAACGGCUCACCUAGGCGACGAUCCCUAGCUGGUCUGAGAGGAUGACCAGCCACACUGGAACUGAGACACGGUCCAGACUCCUACGGGAGGCAGCAGUGGGGAAUAUUGCACAAUGGGCGCAAGCCUGAUGCAGCCAUGCCGCGUGUGUGAAGAAGGCCUUCGGGUUGUAAAGCACUUUCAGCGGGGAGGAAGGCGUUAAGGUUAAUAACCUUGGCGAUUGACGUUACCCGCAGAAGAAGCACCGGCUAACUCCGUGCCAGCAGCCGCGGUAAUACGGAGGGUGCAAGCGUUAAUCGGAAUUACUGGGCGUAAAGCGCACGCAGGCGGUCUGUCAAGUCGGAUGUGAAAUCCCCGGGCUCAACCUGGGAACUGCAUUCGAAACUGGCAGGCUAGAGUCUUGUAGAGGGGGGUAGAAUUCCAGGUGUAGCGGUGAAAUGCGUAGAGAUCUGGAGGAAUACCGGUGGCGAAGGCGGCCCCCUGGACAAAGACUGACGCUCAGGUGCGAAAGCGUGGGGAGCAAACAGGAUUAGAUACCCUGGUAGUCCACGGCGUAAACGAUGUCGAUUUGGAGGUUGUGCCCUUGAGGCGUGGCUUCCGGAGCUAACGCGUUAAAUCGACCGCCUGGGGAGUACGGCCGACAUGGUUAAAACUCAAAUGAAUUGACGGGGGCCCGCACAAGCGGUGGAGCAUGUGGUUUAAUUCGAUGCAACGCGAAGAACCUUACCUGGUCUUGACAUCCACAGAACUUUCCAGAGAUGGAUUGGUGCCUUCGGGAACUGUGAGACAGGUGCUGCAUGGCUGUCGUCAGCUCGUGUUGUGAAAUGUUGGGUUAAGUCCCGCAACGAGCGCAACCCUUAUCCUUUGUUGCCAGCGGUCCGGCCGGGAACUCAAAGGAGACUGCCAGUGAUAAACUGGAGGAAGGUGGGGAUGACGUCAAGUCAUCAUGGCCCUUACGACCAGGGCUACACACGUGCUACAAUGGCAUAUACAAAGAGAAGCGACCUCGCGAGAGCAAGCGGACCUCAUAAAGUAUGUCGUAGUCCGGAUUGGAGUCUGCAACUCGACUCCAUGAAGUCGGAAUCGCUAGUAAUCGUAGAUCAGAAUGCUACGGUGAAUACGUUCCCGGGCCUUGUACACACCGCCCGUCACACCAUGGGAGUGGGUUGCAAAAGAAGUAGGUAGCUUAACCUUCGGGAGGGCGCUUACCACUUUGUGAUUCAUGACUGGGGUGAAGUCGGAAGGGGGGGGC
rnacentral:rRNA from 1 species